rnacentral:rRNA from 1 species
CGUACCCGCUGAACUUAAGCAUAUCAAUAAGCGGAGGAAAAGAAACCAACAGGGAUUGCCCUAGUAACGGCGAGUGAAGCGGCAACAGCUCAAAUUUGAAAUCUGGCCUCGGCCCGAGUUGUAAUUUGCAGAGGAUGCUUCUGGCGCGGUGCCUUCCGAGUUCCCUGGAACGGGACGCCACAGAGGGUGAGAGCCCCGUAUGGUCGGACACCAAGCCUGUGUGAAGCUCCUUCGACGAGUCGAGUAGUUUGGGAAUGCUGCUCUAAAUGGGAGGUAAAUCUCUUCUAAAGCUAAAUACCGGCCAGAGACCGAUAGCGCACAAGUAGAGUGAUCGAAAGAUGAAAAGCACCUUGAAAAGGGGGUUAAAUAGUACGUGAAAUUGUUGAAAGGGAAGCACUUAUGACCAGACUUGGGCCGGGCGGCUCAUCAGGGGUUCUCCCCUGUGCACUCCGCCCGGCACAGGCCAGCAUCGGUUCUCGUGGGGGGAUAAGACCGUCAGGAACGUAGCACCCUCCGGGGUGUGUUAUAGCCUGGCGGACGAUACCCCCGUGGGGACCGAGGUCCGCGCUCCGCAAGGAUGCUGGCGUAAUGGUCAUCAGUGACCCGUCUUGAAACACGGACCAAGGAGUCGUCCAUUAGAGCGAGCGUUUGGGUGUAAAACCCGCACGCGUAAUGAAAGUGAACGCAGGUGAGAGCUUCGGCGCAUCAUCGACCGAUCCUGAUGUUCUCGGAAGGAUUUGAGUAAGAGUUUUAACGGACGGACCCGAAAGACAGUGAACUAUGCUUGUAUAGGGUGAAGCCAGAGGAAACUCUGGUGGAGGCUCGCAGCGGUUCUGACGUGCAAAUCGAUCGUCAAAUAUGAGCAUGGGGGCGAAAGACUAAUCGAACUGUCUAGUAGCUGGUUACCGCCGAAGUUUCCCUCAGGAA